UCAUAUGUAGAGAUACUGAUGAUGAAAAUUAUGAGCAAUACACACAGUCAUAGUUCUGGUUUUGGCCAUUUGAGUUCACUCGAAGAUAUCUUUUUUUAGAUUAAAAAAUGCUCUCUCUUUCAUGAUAUCGGAUUUUUGGUUCCUUGUUCUAUAUUGUAAUUUCUUUAUCUUUUCUCUCUUUCUCUCCUGCAUUAGGUGUGCACUUCAUUGAGGCACUUCAUUUCCAAAGCAUCUGGUCCAAGUUUUUGAACUGGCCAGCAACAACUACCACCAACGCUCCCACAUAUUUCUGUUUAGAAGGGGGGACAUGAUCAAAGAUAUGUCCAAGUUUGAUUGCGUAAAAGGACACACAUAUGGAAAAUGCAAUGUAUUACCUUUCAAGUCAACUUGUUGUUACAAACAAACUAGGGGUAGAACACUAUCUCCAACUUGUGUUAUUGAUGGUGCCACUUUUCAAGAAGACACUCGUUGAAACUGUUCAUGAGAAUAUGUCUUCUCAGGUACAGAUGUCAACCUCUCAACCCCACAGCCCGUGUCUUUCACCAAUCCCUGCAACUGCAUUUUUCUAUGAUUUAGUGAUGUAGUCAUACAAACUUCAUGCAAAACAAUUUUCAAUCAGAGUUGUUUAUUUUCUUCUUUUAUUGUACCUUCAUUACAAUCAGAUGCAUACCUCACACCCAAAUGGAUAGCCACCCAUUAUAAGCUUGUUUGAGUUGUCCAUAGAAUUGCAGGACAUCUCUGCUGCCAUGCUCUCAGUAUUUUUCAAUGCCCUAUCACUAGCCUGCAUGCAAACAAAAUUUUUCUUAUUCAGCCAGCAUCUAAACUUUAAGAAUACAUGCAUAGCAAUUCAGUUAUUUUCUUUUUUUAAUUUACACUGUGUCUUUUCAAAAUUACACUGUUUUUUCAAGAGUACUGUCUACAAGUUUUUUUUUCAGAUCUACAAGGUUAUUACUCUACGAUUCUGAUUGGAUAUUUCUAUCAUUCCUAUCUGAUUGGAUCUCUUUUU